CCUGUUAUGUCUCUGUGUCUCUGAUCUCCAGGUUGGAGGAUAAUAAUCUGACAGCUGAUUGUACAGAGGAUCUGACCUCCGCUCUCAGCACAAACCACUCACUGACGCAGCUGUACCUCAAUAUUGAUGAUCUGGGAGAUUGUGGAGUGAAGCCACUGUGUGAGGCUUUGAGGAACCCGGUGUUUAAAAUACCGAAAGUGGAGCUGGAGAGCAAUAAUCUGGGAGAUUGUGGAGUGAAGCGACUGUGUGAGUCUCUGAGGAACUCGGAGUGUACAAUACAGAGACUGUGGUUGGACAGUAACAGACUGACCGAUGGCUGCACUGAUGAUCUGGUCUCCGCUCUCAGUACAAACCGCUCACUGAGGAUCCUGGACCUGGAGUGUAACUCGUUCACAGACGGCUCUGUCCCCGCUCUCCGCCGCCUCAUACAGACCUGCACCAGUCUGGAGGAGAUCAGGCUUUGGGGGAAUGGGUUCAGUUCAGACGGAAAGAAUCAACUGAAGUCACUGCGGGGAAUCAGAGCUGAGCUGUCAGUGGAAGUUUGAAACUGAC